GGAGGCGUCGCAUAGUGGUCUAGUGCACCACCUUGGAAAGGUGGCAGGCUCGAAAGGGUCUCGAGAGUUCAAAUCUCUCCGCCUCCGCCA
rnacentral:tRNA from 1 species